CGGAAUUAUGCUUCAGGAAGCCAGAAAAGAAAAAAGAGAAAGGAAGAGGAGGAUAAGAAAAAACAAGAUAGUGGUGCUUUGCUUAAAUUUCUCAGCCCUCAGGCUCUUCCUAAGGAUACCUCCACUGAUGAAGCUACACCAUCAACGUCAUCCUCAACAUCAACAGAUGCAUCACUUCUCAGUGCUGAUGUCUCCUCUAUAGCACAAG